rnacentral:rRNA from 1 species
CCGCGCCCGUCCCNNCGCCCCCGCCCGCCUACGGGAGGCAGCAGUGGGGNNUNNUGCGCAAUGGGGGAAACCCUGACGCAGCGAUGCCGCGUGGGUGAAGAAGGCCUUCGGGUUGUAAAGCCCUUUCAGUGGGGAAGAUAGUGACGGUACCCACAGAAGAAGCUCCGGCUAACUCCGUGCCAGCAGCCGCGGUAAUACGGAGGGGGCGAGCGUUGUUCGGAAUUACUGGGCGUAAAGGGCGCGUAGGCUGUUAUGCAAGUCAGGAGUGAAAGGCCCAGGCUCAACCUGGGGACGGCUCUUGAAACUGCAUGACUGGAGUCCGGCAGAGGGUGGUGGAAUUCCCCGUGUAGAGGUGAAAUUCGUAGAUAUGGGGAGGAAGACCGGAGGCGAAGGCGGCCACCUGGACCGGUACUGACGCUGAGGCGCGAAAGCGUGGGGAGCAAACAGGAUUAGAUACCCUGGUAGUCCACGCUGUAAACGAUGAGUGCUAGUUAUCGCGGGUAUCGACCCCUGCGGUAACGGAGCUAACGCGUUAAGCACUCCGCCUGGGGAGUACGGCCGCAAGG